GCCUAUCUGAAAAGUCGCACGGAUACCAGAAAACUAUAAUAUCAAUAACACUGGUCGACAUGUAUCCUUUUCCUUGUGUAAACGCACUUGGAAGUAAGUCUGAUUACGGUAGACGCCCUCGUUGGAAACUCGAGCGGCAGGAG
rfam:Candidatus Saccharibacteria bacterium 49-20 SCNpilot_bf_inoc_scaffold_22, whole genome shotgun sequence.